AUCUACUUCGAGUCCCAGAGUGAACAUUAAUUCUGAGAUUCAAUUACAUCCAGCUGACAAUACUGAAAUAGGACGAAACGCGCGUCCUGGAU
rnacentral:hammerhead_ribozyme from 1 species